rnacentral:rRNA from 1 species
UACGGAGGUGGGCAAGCGUUAUCCGGAUUUAUUGGGCGUAAAGCGCUCGCAGGCGGCUUGAUGCGUCGUGCGUGAAACACCCCGGCUCAACUGGGGAGGGUCGUGCGAUACGGGCGGACUGGAGGCCAGUAGGGGGAUGCGGAAUUCCGGGUGGAGUGGUGAAAUGCGUAGAUAUCCGGAGGAAUACCAAAGGCGAAGGCAGUGUCCUGGGGAGUGUCUGACGCUCAGGCGCGAAAGCUAGGGGAGCGAACAGG